UUGGGGGACUUUAAUGAAAUUUAAUACCCGUUGGAAAAAGAGGGUGGUAUGGCUAGACCACUUGGUAUGAUGAGAGAAUUUAGUGAAUGCCUAAUGGAUUGCGGGUUGGAUGACCUUGGUUAUACGGGUGACCUGUUCACUUGGAGAGGCGAAAUACGUGAACGUCUUGAUCGGAGGGUCUGUAAUAUAGCAUGGGCAAACAAAUUUCCACGAGCGGUAGUAAUCAACGAAGAACAUGUUCAUUCUGACCACCGCCCAAUCGUACUGGAUACGGAUUACUUGGAUGAAAAAAACUUUAAACAACCAGAUGGGCGGGUUAAACAGUUUGAGAUGAGGUGGUUGAAGGAAGAGACGGUCACUGAAAUUGUUAAGGCAUCUUGGGAGAAAGCAAGACUUGCUGGUAUUGGACCAUCACUUGUUGAUCGUACGAGAGCAAUACAUGCCGAUCUACAUACCUGGGACUGGGAAACUCUAAAGGGACCAAAGGUGAGAAUUAGGAAACUAAAAAAAAGAAUUGGAGAGACUAAGGCGGGGCCCAUUAAAUACGGAGUCUCAAGGUCAUCGGAAGGAAAUUAUUGUGCUAAUUGA
rnacentral:rRNA from 1 species